rnacentral:rRNA from 1 species
AGAGUUUGAUCAUGGCUCAGAAUCAACGCUGGCGGCGCGCUUAACACAUGCAAGUCGAACGGGAAAGUGGGCAACCAUGAGUACAGUGGCGUACGGGUGAGUAACACGUGGGUAAUCUACCUCUUAGUGGGGAAUAACCUUGGGAAACCGAGGCUAAUACCGCAUAAGCUCGAGAGAGGAAAGCAGCAAUGCGCUGAGAGAGGAGCCCGCGGCCGAUUAGCUAGUUGGCAGGGUAAAAGCCUACCAAGGCAGAGAUCGGUAGCCGGCCUGAGAGGGCACACGGCCACACUGGCACUGAAACACGGGCCAGACUCCUACGGGAGGCAGCAGUGGGGAAUCUUGCACAAUGGGGGCAACCCUGAUGCAGCGACGCCGCGUGAGCGAUGAAGCCCUUCGGGGUGUAAAGCUCUUUCGGCAGGGAAGAUUAUGACGGUACCUGCAGAAGCAGCUGCGGCUAACUACGUGCCAGCAGCCGCGGUAAUACGUAGGCAGCGAGCGUUGUUCGGAGUUACUGGGCGUAAAGGGUGUGUAGGCGGCCUUCUAAGUUUGGUGUGAAAUCUCCCGGCUUAACCGGGAGGGUGCGCCGAAUACUGAAGGGCUAGAGUGCGGGAGAGGAGAGUGGAAUUCCUGGUGUAGCGGUGAAAUGCGUAGAUAUCAGGAGGAACACCGGUGGUGUAGACGGCUCUCUGGACCGUAACUGACGCUGAGACACGAAAGCGUGGGUAGCAAACAGGAUUAGAUACCCUGGUAGUCCACGCCCUAAACGAUGCAUAUUUGGUGUGGGUCAUUCAGUUGAUCCGUGCCGGAGCUAACGCGUUAAAUAUGCCGCCUGGGGAGUACAGUCGCAAGGCUGAAACUCAAAGGAAUUGACGGGGGCCCCGCCCAAGCGGUGGAGCAUGGGGUUC